CUGGAGCCAGCGGCUUGGCUUUUAAACUGGAAAUUAACCAGAGCCACACAAACAAUUGUACUCACAUUGGCUCAGAGGUGGCCAACCCUCAAAGCUGGCCUCAAGAGGCUGGGGAACGGAAGUUCUAGCUGAGAAUCUGCUAACUCUGAAGGGAGACAGGUUUAGUGGGUGAGUACAGCUAUGAAAUCACCACUCUGGACACUGCUGACACCUGUAUGUGGAAAGAUCCGAUCGGUCCUGUGUCUCAGAAACUCAACAAGACAAUACCUUAGCGCUUGACACACAGUCGUUGCUCAGAUUCCAUGAGUUGGGCUCAGUGCUUAGCUGUGAAUCUCUGCUUCUGCUUCUGUCAGCUACUGGACUGGAACUGAAAGUUCACUCACUGCUCCCUACACUCUUGAAACCCAGCCUCUCUGGUUCCUGGAGCAGUUUCUCAAGUCUUUCUAGUUUCAUCGCCCUGCAGCAGCAGCCUAUCCACAGGAUGAACAGCACACACAUGGUCUGGGAUCACCUAGGAGACACACCUGUGGGCAUGUCUAAGCAAGAGAGAUUUGCUUAACUGAGAUGGGAGGAUCCCUCCUGGAGGUGGGCACUGGGGCCCCGGACCAGACAAAAAGAGAAAGCGAGCCCAGCACCAGCAUCCACCUCUCAGCUUCCUGUCUGUGAAUGCCACGUGACCUGCCCCCUCAGGCUUCCUGCAGUCAUGCCCUCUGUGACACAAGGGACCUUAUGCCCG
rnacentral:lncRNA from 1 species